rnacentral:other from 3 species
CGGGUACUGCCCGGUGCGUCGAGACUGUCGAUCCCUGGGGCGAUAUUCAUCCCAUCGGGAGCUGUCCCUGUCCUGGAUCCUGGUCCAGGCAUACGGCGCCCACCUGGCUCUUAUGGCGCCAGAGGAUGACCAAACUUGACGGCCAUGGCGGUCCCGCC